AGCGAACGUUAGCGGCGGGCUUAACACAUGCAAGUCGAACGCGAAAAGGAUUCGUCCCCGGUAGCGUGGCGGCCGGGGGAGUAACACGUAGGAAACCUUGCCUCGAGAGGGGGAUAACGUCCCGAAAGGGAAGCUAAUACCGCAUAAGCCCACGACGGCUCCGGCCGACGAGGGAAAAGAUGGCCACUGAAUUCAAGCUAUCACUUGAGGAUGGUCCUGCGGCGCAUCAGCUAGUUGGUGGGGUAACGGCCUACCAAGGCGAAGACGCGUAGCUGGUCUGAGAGGAUGAUCAGCCACACUGGGACUGAAACACGGGCCAGACUCCUACGGGAGGCAGCAGUGGGGAAUAUUGGACAAUGGGCGCAAGCCUGAUCCAGCCACGCCGCGUGAGUGAUGAAGGCCUUCGGGUUGUAAAGCUCUGUGGGGAGGGGCGAAAACGGCCGGUAAGAAACGACCGGUCCUUGACGGUACCUCCUUAGCAAGCACCGGCUAACUCUGUGCCAGCCGCCGCGGUAAUAC
rnacentral:rRNA from 1 species